AUGGCCAUGCUAGUGUCUCCUAUCGCCAAAGACGACAUGGUCUCCUAUGUGUUGUGUUACAAUCCCCCGUUGUCAUUGAUCACAACUCAAACAGACCCGGUAUCCCUUGGUGACUUGUAUUCUCGUCUACUUUCUUUUCAAAUCAUGUUGGAGCAGCAAUACCUCUCCUUCCAAGGCAACUCUUCAGGCAACUUUACUCCACCUGGGCGUGGUGGCGGCAAAACAUGUCAUAAAUCAUCAAACCCAAAUAUGGAGUACUUAAGAGAUGCACUUUCACAAUGUUGCAAGCUCCAAAUUGAUCUAAGCAUUACAUAUUUAUUAAGGUGA
rnacentral:rRNA from 1 species